rnacentral:rRNA from 1 species
GGAAUCAACGCUGGCGGCGUGCCUAACACAUGCAAGUCGAACGCGAAAAUCCCGCAAGGGAUCGUAGCGUGGCAAACGGGUGAGUAACGCGUGGGCGACCUACCUUCGAGUGGGGGAUAACCUUCCGAAAGGAGGGCUAAUACCGCAUGACAUCCCGUGUUUGGAUACACGGACAUCAAAGCCGGGGAUCGUAAGACCUGGCGCUUGGAGAGGGGCCCGCGUCCGAUUAGCUAGUUGGUGAGGUAAUGGCUCACCAAGGCUCCGAUC